rnacentral:rRNA from 1 species
UACGUAGGUCCCGAGCGUUGUCCGGAUUUAUUGGGCGUAAAGCGAGCGCAGGUGGUUUAUUAAGUCUGGUGUAAAAGGCAGUGGCUCUACCAUUGUAUGCAUUGGAAACCGGUAGACUUGAGUGCAGGAGAGGAGAGUGGAAUUCCAUGUGUAGCGGUGAAAUGCGUAGAUAUAUGGAGGAACACCGGUGGCGAAAGCGGCUCUCUGGCCUGUAACUGACACUGAGGCUCGAAAGCGUGGGUAGCAAACAGG